rnacentral:rRNA from 1 species
AGUGAACGCUGGCGGUAGGCCUAACACAUGCAAGUCGAACGGCAGCACAGUAAGAGCUUGCUCUUACGGGUGGCGAGUGGCGGACGGGUGAGGAAUACAUCGGAAUCUACUUUUUCGUGGGGGAUAACGUAGGGAAACUUACGCUAAUACCGCAUACGACCUACGGGUGAAAGCAGGGGAUCUUCGGACCUUGCGCGAUUGAAUGAGCCGAUGUCGGAUUAGCUAGUUGGCGGGGUAAAGGCCCACCAAGGCGACGAUCCGUAGCUGGUCUGAGAGGAUGGUCAGCCACACUGGAACUGAGACACGGUCCAGACUCCUACGGGAGGCAGCAGUGGGGAAUAUUGGACAAUGGGCGCAAGCCUGAUCCAGCCAUACCGCGUGGGUGAAGAAGGCGUUCGGGUUGUAAAGCCCUUUUGUUGGGAAAGAAAAGCAGCAGGUUAAUACCCCGCUGUUCUGACGGUACCCAAAGAAUAAGCACCGGCUAACUUCGUG